CUCUCCUGGGCUUAGUUAUUCCUGAUGCACAUGGCCUGGCAAGCAGGCAGGCUGGGUACAUUUUAACCUCUGCAAGCAGGCAGUCUAAUUUGGCAUCUGGCAAGUAAGUCUCUUGGCCACAGCCUGCUUCCGGCACCCCAACCCUUUCCUGCCCCAACUCUCUGCCCCCUCCCCCCUGUCAAGUAUGGGUUCUCUUGGCCAGGCCUCGGGAGUAUAGCUGUGAUCUACCUCAGCAACCUCACCAGGUCACAUGGAUAGCAACAAGGCUUAUCUACCAAUAAAAUGGAGCUUGUCCGAGUCCAGCACUCAACACCAUAUAUGGGCAUCACGCCACACCCAGACCACUCCCAUGCCACUCCCAGAGCUCAAACAACACCAAAUAUGGUAAUAGGCAAGAACAUAAAAACCUCUCUGCCCUUAGCUCUGGGAGGACUCCCGAAUAUUGGAAGACAGAAUCUGAGUCUGGCUUAGGACUGAUCACCCAAAGGUUGCCUCCCACCCACCGAAUCUAAAAAAGGGUGCACGAAUCUCGAGCAUGCUCCGUUUCCUUGUGUGUCUUUGUGUUGUUGUUGCUGAGUUUGUGUCUGACUUAAGAACUCUUAAGUCCUGGAUUAGCAAACUCCAGCUAAUGAUCUCUGCAGAAGAGUUCACCUAUGGUUACACUGCAGCUUAAGUCGAUGUCGGAGACCCAGUGCAUCCAGAGACCAUGCAGGAUACAAAAGCAGGUGGGACUAGCCAGAUCCCAGAGGAAGGAGGGGAGACAGAGAUCUGCAGUGCACCAAGACAUUGGAAGCAGGAAGCAGCCCAGGGAUGGC